rnacentral:rRNA from 1 species
UUAUCAACUUUCGAUGGUAGGAUAGAGGCCUACCAUGGUGGUAACGGGUAACGGGGUGUUAGGGCACGACACCGGAGAGGGAGCCUGAGAAACGGCUACCACAUCCAAGGAUGGCAGCAGGCGCGCAAAUUACCCAAUCCCGACACGGGGAGGUAGUGACAAUAAAUAACAAUACGGGGUUCUCUCGGAUCUCGUAAUUGGAAUGAGUACAAUUUAAAUCUCUUAACGAGGAACAAUUGGAGGGCAAGUCUGGUGCCAGCAGCCGCGGUAAUUCCAGCUCCAAUAGCGUAUAUUAAAGUUGUUGCAGUUAAAAAGCUCGUAGUUGAAUUUCGGGGUUAGUAGGUUGGUCAUGCCUCUGGUAUGUACUGGUCUCACUGAUUCCUCCUUCCUGAUGAACCGUAAUGCCAUUAAUUUGGUGUUGCGGGGAAUUUGGACUGUUACUUUGAAAAAAUUAGAGUGUUUAAAGCAAGCUAACGCUUGAAUACAUUAGCAUGGAAUAAUGAAAUAGGACGUUCGAUCUUAUUUUGUUGGUUUCUAGGAUUGACGUAAUGAUUAAUAGGGAUAGUUGGGGGCAUUAGUAUUCAAUUGUCAGAGGUGAAAUUCUUGGAUUUAUUGAAGACUAACUACUGCGAAAGCAUUUGCCAAGGAUGUUUUCAUUAAUCAGAACGAAAGUUAGGGGAUCGAAGACGAUCAGAUACCGUCGUAGUCUUAACAUAACUAUGCCGACUAGGGAUCGGAUGAUGUAUUUUUAUGACUCAUCGGCGCCUUACGGAAACAAAGUGUU